rnacentral:misc_RNA from 1 species
GAUGAAGAACGUAGCGAAAUGCGAUAAGUAGUGUGAAUUGCAGAAUUCAGUGAAUCAUCGAAUCUUUGAACGCACAUUGCGCCCCUUGGUAUUCCAUGGGGCAUGCCUGUUCGAGCGUCAUUUGUACCUUCAAGCUUUGCUUGGUGUUGGGUGUUUGUCCCGAGGGACUCGCCUUAAAGUAAUUGGCAGCCAGUGUUUGGUUUUGAAGCGCAGCACAAGUCGCGAUUCAAGGCUACACGCCCGCUUCCACAAGCCUUUUUUCACUUUUGACCUCGGAUCAGGUAGGGAUACCCGCUGAACUUAAGUAUAUCAAUAAGCGGAGGA